UACGUAGGGACCGAGCGUUGUCCGGAAUCAUUGGGCGUAAAGAGCGUGUAGGCGGCCACUUAAGUCUUGCGUGAAAUCUUGCGGCUCAACCGCAAGCGGUCGUGGGAAACUGGGUGGCUAGAGUGCGGAAGAGGAGAGUGGAAUUCCUGGUGUAGCGGUGAAAUGCGCAGAUAUCAGGAAGAACACCCGUGGCUAAGGCGGCUCUCUAGUACGGUACUGACGCUGAGACGCGAAAGCGUGGGGAGCGAACAGG
rnacentral:rRNA from 1 species